rnacentral:RNase_P_RNA from 1 species
AGUUAAUAUCCAGUCAUCGCUUAAUUUACUUUGAAGUAUUUUAGGAGGAAAGUCCGAGCUCCGAUAAGAGCAUAAUGCUAGGUAAUGCCUAGGGGUCCUAGACUUAAGAAAGUGUCACAGAAAAUUACCGCCUUAGGGUAAGGGUGAAAAGGUGAGGUAAGAGCUCACCGCUUAUUUAGUGAUAAAUAGGGUCAAGACAAACCUCAUUAGGAGCAAAAUCAAGUAUGCAAGUUUUUCUUGCUCUUGGGAACUUGCGGGUGGAUUGCAUGAUUUUUCCAGUGAUGGAAAGACAAGAUAGAUGAUGACGUAAUACAGAACUCGGCUUAUGGGUAUUAACUUAAU